UACGUAGGGUGCAAGCGUUAAUCGGAAUUACUGGGCGUAAAGCGUGCGCAGGCGGUGAUGUAAGACAGAUGUGAAAUCCCCGGGCUCAACCUGGGAACUGCAUUUGUGACUGCACAGCUGGAGUGCGGCAGAGGGGGAUGGAAUUCCGCGUGUAGCAGUGAAAUGCGUAGAGAUGCGGAGGAACACCGAUGGCGAAGGCAGCCCCCUGGGUCGACACUGACGCUCAGGCACGAAAGCGUGGGGAGCAAACAGG
rnacentral:rRNA from 1 species